rnacentral:rRNA from 1 species
GAGUUUGAUCAUGGCUCAGAUUGAACGCUGGCGGCAGGCCUAACACAUGCAAGUCGAGCGGUAGCACAAGAGAGCUUGCUCUCUGGGUGACGAGCGGCGGACGGGUGAGUAAUGUCUGGGAAACUGCCUGAUGGCGGGGGAUAACUAGUGGAAACGGUAGCUAAUACCGCAUAACGUCGCAAGACCAAAGUGGGGGACCUUCGGGCCUCACGCCAUCAGAUGUGCCCAGGUGGGAUUAGCUGGUAGGUGGGGUAACGGCUCACCUAGGCGACGAUCCCUAGCUGGUCUGAGAGGAUGACCAGCCACACUGGAACUGAGACACGGUCCAGACUCCUACGGGAGGCAGCAGUGGGGAAUAUUGCACAAUGGGCGCAAGCCUGAUGCAGCCAUGCCGCGUGUGUGAAGAAGGCCUUC